AGCAGCCGCGGUAAUUCCAGCUCCAAUAGCGUAUAUUAAAGUUGUUGCAGUUAAAAAGCUCGUAGUUGAAUUUCGGGAUCAAUACGUCGGUCGUGCCUACGGUAUGUACUGUUGUCAUUGAUUUCUCCCUUCUGACGAACCAUGAUGUCAUUAACUUGGUGUCAUGGGGGGUUAGGACUGUUACCUUAGAAAAAAUUAGAGUGUUUAAAGCAGGCUCACGCUUGGAUACAUUAGCAUGGAAUAAUAAAAUAGGACGUUUGAACCUUAUUUUGUUGGUUUCUAGGAUCAACGUAAUGAUUAAUAGGGAUAGUUGGGGGCAUUAGUAUUCAAUUGUCAGAGGUGAAAUUCUUGGAUUUAUUGAAGACUAACUACUGCGAAAGCAUUUGCCAAGGAUGUUUUCAUUAAUCAAGAACGAAAGUUAGGGGAUCGAAGACGAUCAGAUACCGUCGUAGUCUUAACCAUAAACU
rnacentral:rRNA from 1 species